UGUCCUGUGAGUGACACACAGCCCUGACGGUUCGAAGGUUCACGGCUGCUCACUUUUGCUAUUUUCCUUUUAUCCUGAGGAACAAAAUGAGAAAAACAAGGCUCGUCAGUAACUGGGAGGGGGUGCGGAUUGAAAGUGAAACAUUAACCAAUAGAAAAUGUUUUAUAAUGCUGGGUUUGGAGCCUCACAUUUACACAUUGCAGAGCGAAGGGCAGCCUGGAUAUCAUUAGCUGCACUAAAACUUCGCCCAGGGAGUUCUGCAGAAGGAAAAGGAAGAUUUGCUCCUGCAAAAUGGAAAAGAAAGACCAGCAAGACAGAGCACUUAAUGACGUCACAGCGGCCAGAAGGAAAGUCCCGAGGCUGUGUGGAACCAACUAUCCCCUGAGCAUCGCUUUCAUUGUGGUGAACGAGUUCUGCGAGCGCUUCUCUUAUUAUGGCAUGAAAGCUGUGCUGACCCUGUACUUCAUGAACUUUCUUCACUGGGAUAAGGACCUGUCCACAGCUGUCUACCACGCCUUCUCCAGCCUUUGCUAUUUCACACCCCUCUUUGGAGCUCUAAUAGCCGACUCGUUCCUUGGGAAAUUUAAAACUAUCAUAUACCUCUCCAUUGUUUAUGUAACUGGACACAUCAUCAAGUCUGUUGGUGCAAUACCGACAGUGGGAAACCAGACAAUGCAUGCAGUCCUGUCAAUGGUCGGCCUGGUCCUCAUAGCUCUCGGGACGGGAGGAAUCAAGCCCUGCGUCGCUGCUUUUGGAGGAGACCAGUUUGAAGAAAAACAUGUGGACGAGAAGAGAAAGUUCUUUUCCAUCUUCUAUCUGUCCAUUAAUGCAGGAAGUGUGAUAUCAACGUUUGUCACCCCACUGCUACGAGGUAAUGUCCAGUGCUUUGGAGGGGACUGUUACGCUCUUGCGUUUGGCGUUCCCGCUGCUCUGAUGGCUGUUGCGCUGGUUGUGUUUAUUGCUGGCAGUGGAAUGUACAAGAAGCGUCCUCCACAAGGAAACAUUAUAGUGGAAGUCUGCAAAUGUGUUGGAUUUGCAGUAAGCAAUCGCUGGAAGCAUCGUUUUAGUCAUUUUCCAAAGAGGCAGCACUGGCUUGACUGGGCUGAAGAAAAGUACCAGAAGUCUCUGAUCACGGAGAUUAAGAUGGUCUCCAGGGUGCUGUUCCUGUACAUCCCUCUGCCAAUGUUCUGGGCUCUGUUUGAUCAGCAGGGAACCCGCUGGACUCUGCAGGCUGCCAGAAUGAACAUGGAUUUUGGCGGGUUUGUGUUAGAGCCUGAUCAAAUGCAGACUCUGAAUGCCUUGCUGAUUCUGCUCUUCAUCCCUGUCUUUGAUAUGGGCCUCUACCCACUGGUAGGGCUGUGCAACAUAAAGUUCACGCCUCUUAAGAGGAUGACAACCGGCAUGGUCCUGGCAGCAAUUGCGUUUGCAGCAGCAGCGCUGGUGGAAAUGAAAGUCAAUGAAACGGUGAUCCCAGCACCAGCUGCCCGAGAGAGCUUGCUUCAGAUCCUGAACCUGGCGGAGGACAGCGUUCAUGCUCACCUCCCGGGGAGCGCCCUCUCUGGAGAUCCAAUCCAUCCUUUUCAGGAUCCUCUGGAGUACCAGACAUUGAAGCUGAAUGCAGACUCUGAAACCCUGAAUUUCACUGUGAUGUACAAAGAAGCAACGUUUCCUUGCAGCCAACACUUCACUGGAGGAAAAGCAUACAGUUUAGUGCUGUACAACGAUAGCACAGGUCUUGCAUGCAAACUUAUGCAAGAUGAAAUUCAAAAGCCUGCCAAUGGACAUGCAGCUUUAAGAUUUAUCAAUGGCCAUUCAGAGGAUGUUAACAUAACCGUGGGUGAAGAAGACUUUGGGGCAGUGUUGACGGGCUGUGACGUCUCUCCCUACAGAACACUCGAGAGAGGAGAGUACAGUGCAAAAAUGAAAGUUGGCUUAAGUGGGACUAGCCUUGACGUGGGACUGGGGCUGCUUGACUUUGGUGCCUCAUACACUGUUAUUAUAACAGGGACCUCUGUCACUACUGUCCACAUCAACACAACCCAAGAUAUCUUUGCAAACAGCCUGCACAUAGGCUGGCAGGUCCCACAGUAUGUGCUGAUAACAGCCGGCGAGGUCCUGUUCUCCAUCACUGGGCUUGAGUUCUCCUACUCACAGGCCCCAGCCAGUAUGAAGGCGGUCCUCCAGGCUGCUUGGCUGAUGACCGUGGCUUUCGGGAAUGUGAUUGUGCUGAUUGUAGCUCAGGGAGCAGUGCUGGAACAGUGGGUAGAGUUUGUUCUGUUUUCCUGUCUCCUGUUUGGGGUCUGUAUCAUCUUCUCAAUCAUGGCGUAUUUCUACACCUACGUGGACCCGGAGGAGCUCGCUGAGCAAGACAAGAGAGAAGAGAAAGAAAAAGCAAAGAGGAAAGAGAAAGAGCUUGGAUACCAGGAGCUGGAUGCCUUCAUUAACUCUUGAACUUGCAAACCACAAUCAUCAAUCACCAGCAGAACACUUUAGAAAACCUCCUGUCGUGGAAGUACAUCAGCAAGACAAAGAAAUACAUACGCUUCGGCGCUAGUCAUUUCAAUGGCACAAUUCUGGCAUUUACGUGAAUCACUGAGGGACAAAAAAACAAAAACACACCAUUUGUGGAUGUUCCAAAAGUUGUGAACGGCACCUCGGGAGGAGAUGCUGCGCAACGCUGUGGAUAAUGAAAUCAUUACUAUAUUCAGGCAACUGUAAAUGAUAAACAGUGCAAUGUAAGGAUUUAAAAUACUCUUAAAGAGCGCCAUUGUUGUUUUAUUUUCAUAAAACCUACCCAUUUGCCAGUUCUUUGUUGUUUCUAUUUACAAAGAAGGGUGACUGGCAUGAAUUACAGAUGUGUGCCCUACAGGAGGCUGCAAUGAACCCAGAGUGAUCAAAGUCGCUUGUACACUCAGGACUGCUGCUGUGGAAAAUAGUCCCCAAACCAGACACUUUCAAAUGGCAACUAUGCACCAAACCCUGGCUGGGAGAUGUACUGUACAUACACAGCACACCAUAGUGUCACACACUGUACCUGAAACAUUGCUGACUCCUCUUCAAACAGCAUGGCAAUGUACUUGUAGUCAGCAUAGGCCCAGCACUGUGAGUACGGGAAUUAGCACAAAACUACUGUAUGGAUUAAAGUUCCAACCUAAUUAAAAACAGGUAACAGCCAGGGAUCCAAAGCAAUCAGAUUCUAAACACAUUCUAAUUGGGGCUGGUUAACUGAAGCAUGUGCACCGAGGUUGUUGCAUCGUUAUGCAGUGUACACACCGAUUUCAUGAUCACAUCCAACCCUGUUCUGAAAUGCAGUGUCGACCUGUCAGGCGUGCCCUGCAGCUCUAGGCACAAUGAUCUGUGAAACACUGCACAGCUAAUUACACUGACCCAGAGACACACAGACAGAUAUACUGAUGCAUGUGGAGGUCUGUUACACUGACAGAGCCACACAGGCAGAUAUACUGAUGCAUGUGGAGGUCUGUUACACUGACACAGAGCCACACAGACAGAUAUACUGAUGCAUGUGGAGGUCUGGCUCUGGGUGUGAGAUAAAUGUGGCAUGAUAACCAUUUUGCUUGUAAAAGAUGGAUUUUGCUGGAUUUUAAAACCGCCAGCCUGCUAUUGGUAGACCUGCUCUAAUUUGCAGACCUCUCCAGCUGUAUUUGUAUUGCAGUUUGUGAUUUUAACAAAGACUCAAAAAAUCAUGCCCCAUCAUCAUUGAAUACAGACCUCCACACUCUGCUUGGCUUGUGUUCAAACACAUGUUGUAUUGUAUUGUGUUGUAUUAUAUGGUGGACAUGCUUUUUCCCCAGCUGCCCUGAUCUAACCUUUUG